GUCAGAGGAGGAUGCCUAAAGGCACCGGGUGCGUCCCCAGCAGGACCGGGCAAGGGGUCCAGUUACUUUUGGGGCACAAAUCUCUUCAAUGGAAUCCAGCGCUUUGGAUCAGGAGCAGAUGUAAGGAUUGCCCAGGGAGACACAGGGGAAGGUCAAGAGGUUUAUUCAUAGAUGCCUAUCAAAAUCUGUCAUCAAGAAAACCCAAGAGAUGA
rnacentral:lncRNA from 13 species